UCUUCCUCUUCUUCCUCUUUCUCCUCCUCCUCCUUUCUUGGCUUGGAUUGGUUUGGGGUUUUUUUUGUUUUUUCCUUCCCUCCACACUGCAACAAGCCUCCAUCCCCGCACGAGCGCCUCCGUAUUUUCCUUGCUGCUGGAGAGAGGAACCCCAGCGACAGAGCGGGGCACGGCGGGAGCGGAGCAGACGGCGGCCCGAUGCCUGCGCCCCCUCUCCUCCGCUCAGUCCCCCACUCUGCUCCCCCUUGGCUCCGGCGGCGACUCGCAGUGCGCAGCGGCUCGGCCCAGGCUCGGCCCCGGCCCGCCCCGUCACGUGGGCGUCUAGACACCGUGUCGCUCCAGGGAAAAAAUAAUCUAUGUGUUAUAUUUACCUCCAACCGCCUUGCACAAUCGGCGAUUGGGGUUGCUGAAAGGUUGUGGGUCUCCCCUUCCCCGUUCCCCCUCCCCAAUCUCCAUCCCUGCUCCAGGAUGAGGGGGCCCCCUCCAGGAGCACGGCGAGGGUGCGGAGCGGCUGGUCUCUCCCCUACACCCAGCGGGGCAAAGCAGAGGGAGCCUCCGGGGCCGGGGUGUGCCGGAGCCCACUGAGAGUGAACGUCGUUUUUCACAGUUGGGAGAUUGUCUUGGGAUGUAACAUCUCACCUCCAAGAACCUGGGAGAUCCCAAGAAGGGGAGGCGCACCCCACCAAGUUUGGCGGCCUGCUCUGUUUCUUCUGGCGUAAUCGGCGGUUGCAGGUCGACACCCCCGUGAACAAGGAAAAAGACAAAUAAAGCAAAGCAAAAGUAACAGGCUCCCUAAGAAACCACGGUAAUUAGCCCCACAAUUCUUAUGCACGAAGACCCAAAGAAGAAGAAAUGAUUGUCCCUUUCAGGUGCUAUUCACCAUGGAAUUGGUAGUGCAAACUACAGAGUGGAGAUGGUCUCGUGCCCACAGAAUUAAGGGCCUGGUGGAAGAACCAAAGGAAUGGACCAUAACAUCCAGACCGGGUGAGACGAGAUUGACUUUUAAGCAAAGACUGAAAGGCAACCAGAAAGGUCCAGGACAUCCGAGAAAUAAGGUCAAGCUUCCACCAGCCAUCUUAAGGACUGCAUAGAUAAUGCUUUGAGUGGGAGAUUUGGAUUGUAUUGGUCACUGAUGUAGUCGUCCUAUUUGGUGGAUGGGGAUUGCAGGUGUCUGUUGAGGGGGAGUACAUGGGAAACAGUGGGAAGUGCUGAGAUGAUUUGCUUGGGAAUGGACAAGUGGAGUACGACGAGAGCCAAUUCUCCCUCCGGAGAGACAUCUGCUGAUAAUAGGCUAUUGAAUGUCACUGCAUGACUGAUAAGAACUAUAUCAUCCCAUUGUGAGAUGCUCUGCCUAGAGGAAGGAGCCAAGCAUUCCUACCCAGAUAUAAUCUUGAGAUUCUGGAACACCAGCACAGCUUCUCCACGGGAUUUCCCAGAGGAACAGCUGCCUCUUGCUCUGGUUCUUCAGAGGAAGACUACACUCUUUCUACAGAAUCUGUCCUGGUUUAGGGCAAAUUUGGGACAAAACCUCCAAAGGGGGCCCCUCCAGAAAGCAAACCCACAUGGCCCCUCCCCCCAAACGGUUCAGGAAGGACUCCUUGGAGAGAAGUGGAAAGAACCUGUUUAUUUAACAGGCA